AACGAACGCUGGCGGCAGGCUUAACACAUGCAAGUCGAGCGCCCCGCAAGGGGAGCGGCAGACGGGUGAGUAACGCGUGGGGACGUACCCUUUGCUACGGAAUAGCUCCGGGAAACUGGAAUUAAUACCGUAUGUGCCCUACGGGGGAAAGAUUUAUCGGCAAAGGAUCGGCCCGCGUUGGAUUAGCUAGUUGGUGGGGUAAUGGCCUACCAAGGCGACGAUCCAUAGCUGGUCUGAGAGGAUGAUCAGCCACAUUGGGACUGAGACACGGCCCAAACUCCUACGGGAGGCAGCAGUGGGGAAUAUUGGACAAUGGGCGCAAGCCUGAUCCAGCCAUGCCGCGUGAGUGAUGAAGGCCUUAGGGUUGUAAAGCUCUUUCACCGGAGAAGAUAAUGACGGUAUCCGGAGAAGAAGCCCCGGCUAACUUCGUGCCAGCCGCCGCAGUAACAC
rnacentral:rRNA from 1 species